ACUCCUACGGGAGGCAGCAGUGGGGAAUAUUGGACAAUGGGCGCAAGCCUGAUCCAGCCAUGCCGCGUGAGUGAUGAAGGCCCUAGGGUUGUAAAGCUCUUUCACCGGUGAUGAUAAUGACGGUAACCGGAGAAGAAGCCCCGGCUAACUUCGUGCCAGCAGCCGCGGUAAUACGAAGGGGGCUAGCGUUGUUCGGAUUUACUGGGCGUAAAGCGCACGUAGGCGGACUAUUAAGUCAGGGGUGAAAUCCCGGGGCUCAACCCCGGAACUGCCUUUGAUACUGGUAGUCUUGAGUUCGAGAGAGGUGAGUGGAAUUCCGAGUGUAGAGGUGAAAUUCGUAGAUAUUCGGAGGAACACCAGUGGCGAAGGCGGCUCACUGGCUCGAUACUGACGCUGAGGUGCGAAAGCGUGGGGAGCAAACAGGAUUAGAAACCCGAGUAGUCCCAUGA
rnacentral:rRNA from 1 species